rnacentral:rRNA from 1 species
UACGUAGGGAGCAAGCGUUGUCCGGAAUCAUUGGGCGUAAAGCGCGCGUAGGUGGCCCCAUAAGUCCGCUGUGAAAGUCAAAGGCUCAACCUUUGAAAGCCGGUGGAUACUGUGGGACUAGAGUACGGAAGAGGCGAGUGGAAUUCCUGGUGUAGCGGUGGAAUGCGCAGAUAUCAGGAGGAACACCAAUAGCGAAGGCAGCUCGCUGGGACGUUACUGACACUGAGGCGCGAAAG